rnacentral:rRNA from 1 species
UACGGAGGGCGCGAGCGUUGUUCGGAAUCACUGGGCGUAAAGCGCGUGUAGGCGGCCGAGCAAGUCGGAUGUGAAAUCCCGAGGCUCAACCUCGGAACUGCAUUCGAAACUGCUCGGCUCGAGUCCCGGAGAGGAUGGCGGAAUUCCCGGUGUAGGGGUGAAAUCCGUAGAUAUCGGGAGGAACACCAGUGGCGAAGGUGGCCAUCUGGACGGCGACUGACGCUGAGACGCGAAAGCGUGGGGAGCAAACAGG